CGGGGGGGGGCAAGCGUUGUUCGGAAUUACUGGGCGUAAAGGGUCUGUAGGUGGCUUGCUAAGUCAGACGUGAAAUCCCUCAGCUUAACUGGGGAACUGCGUCUGAGACUGGCGAGCUUGAGUGCAGGAGAGGAACGCGGAAUUCCAGGUGUAGCGGUGAAAUGCGUAGAUAUCUGGAGGAACACCGGUGGCGAAGGCGGCGUUCUGGACUGCAACUGACACUGAGAGACGAAAGCCAGGGGAGCAAACGGGAUUAGAUACCCCGGUAGUCCUGGCCCUAAACGAUGAAUGCUUGGUGUGGCGGGUAUCGAUCCCUGCCGUGCCGUAGUUAACGCGUUAAGCAUUCCGCCUGGGGAGUACGGUCGCGAAGGCUAG
rnacentral:rRNA from 1 species